rnacentral:rRNA from 1 species
UAGCCUAAUGGCUGAACNGCAACUUGGAGGAAUGUAUAGCGAAAGCUAGUUGCAUUAAUUAACGGAGUUAGUGUGGCAUUGACUAUGUCAAUUAAAAUUCUAGGUAGAGUUAUGAUUAUGACAUUUUCUACCUAUGUGUCUUGACCAAAUCACGUGCCAGCAGUCGCGGCAAUACGUGGAAGACUAGUGUUAUUCAUCUUUAGUAGGUUUAAAGCGUACUUAGACGGUAAAUUCAGCCCAAUGAAUAAGGGUACUGAUAAGACUAGAGUUUUAUACGAGGGGGAACGGGAGUACUACCAGUGUAGAGAUGAAAUAUUUUGAUACUGCUAGGACUGGCAACGGCGAAAGCAACCCUUUAUGUAAAAACUGACGUUGAAGGACGAAGGCUUGGUUCACCAACAGGAUUAGUUACCCCAGCAGUCUGAGCAGACAAUUAUGAAUGUCAUAGAUAUAAAAGAUUACUACCUAAAUAAAUAUAAAUAGAAAGUACUACCAGGAUAAUUAUAGAUAGAUAACACUACCACCUGAAUAAACAUAGUGAUAACCUGUCUAUAAAUAUUGUAAUAUCCUGACUGUAAGUACUGUAGUAACCUGUCUAUAAAUGAAAGUGUAAGCAUUCCACCUCAAGAGUAAUGCGGCAACGCAGAAACUGAAAUCAUUAGACCGUUUCUGAAACCAGUAGUGAAGUAUGUUGUUUAAUUAGGUAGUCCGCUAAAAACCUCACCACAAUUUGUAUGUUUAUUUUCUAUAAACACAAGCGUUGCACGGCUGUCUUCAGUUAAUGUCGUGAGAUUUUGGUUAGUUCCAUCAAUUAACGUAAACCCUUGCUUUAUUUAAUUUAUAAAGUAGUUCUCCGCUAGAUUGGAUCAGAUAACAGGGACUAAGACAAGUCAUCAUGACCUAAACAUUGUGGGCUAUAGACGUGCUACAUAAGACUACACAAAGGGAUGCGAAAUUGUGAAAUUGAGCUAAUCCCCUAAAUACGCAAUAUAAUA